rnacentral:rRNA from 1 species
GACGAACGCUGGCGGCGUGCUUAACACAUGCAAGCCGAACGGAAAGGCCCUGCUUUUGUGGGGUGCUCGAGUGGCGAACGGGUGAGUAACACGUGAGUAACCUGCCCUUGACUUUGGGAUAACUUCAGGAAACUGGGGCUAAUACCGGAUAGGAGCUCCUGCUGAAUGGUGGGGGUUGGAAAGUUUCGGCGGUUGGGGAUGGACUCGCGGCUUAUCAGCUUGUUGGUGGGGUAGUGGCUUACCAAGGCUUUGACGGGUAGCCGGCCUGAGAGGGUGACCGGCCACAUUGGGACUGAGCUACGGCCCAGACUCCUACGGGAGGCAGCAGUGGGGAAUAUUGCACAAUGGGCGGAAGCCUGAUGCAGCAACGCCGCGUGCGGGAUGACGGCCUUCGGGUUGUAAACCGCUUUCGCCUGUGACGAAGCGUGAGUGACGGUAAUGGGUAAAGAAGCACCGGCUAACUACGUG